UCUCAAUCUUGGCUUACUUCAACCUCCACCUCCCAGGUUCAAGUGAUUCUCCUGCCUCAGCCUCCUGAGUAGCUGGGAUUACAGAUGCCCACCACCACACCUGGCUAAUUUUUUGCAUUUUUUUUAAGUAGAGACAGAGUUUCACCAUGUUGGCCUGGCUGGUCUCGAACUCCUUCUAACCAUCUAUCAAACCACCUCAGUCCCACUCCAGACCACAGAACAACUGAAUCAGAAGCUCUACAGUGGGACAAUGAUCUGUGGUUUAACAAACCCUCCAGGUGAGUCUUCCAGACACAGCCAUGUGGAGCAGAAGUCAUGAAACCAAAAGAACGCAGAAACUUUUCUAAGACAUCUUGUGGAAUGAGGAUGGGGAGCUCUCAACAUAUCACCUCUGGUUUUUGUUAUUCAAGAAAUGUGAACUACACUUCUUGCAGCAUGUGGUUGGAUCUCCAGUAUGACAGGCUAAAGAGAAAAAAGAUAUGUGUAACUGGUUUGUAAACUAUACAGAAUUAUAUAAAUGUAAAGCGCUAUUAUAACUUUUUUCUUUUUAUACUAGUUAUGAUGUAGUUAGAAGCCUGAUCUGAUUCUAGAAUAAUCUGAAAGAUGCACAUCGAAUGAAGGGUCUUAGCAGCAUUUCUAAUAUAUUAGAGUUCUUAGGAGCUGUGGACUCUGUUGAAAGUUGAAUAUUUAAGACCAGCCACAGUUUCAUCUCCCAGUCGCUUCUCUGGGUUUUCUUUCCUUCCUUCCUUCCUUCCUUCCUUCCUUCCUUCCUUCCUUCCUUCCUUCCUUCCUCCCUCCCUCCCUCUCUCUCUGUGU
rnacentral:lncRNA from 1 species